UACGUAUGUCGCAAGCGUUAUCCGGAUUUAUUGGGCGUAAAGCGCGUCUAGGCGGUUUGGUAAGUCUGAUGUGAAAAUGCGGGGCUCAACUCCGUAUUGCGUUGGAAACUGCCAAACUAGAGUACUGGAGAGGUGGGCGGAACUACAAGUGUAGAGGUGAAAUUCGUAGAUAUUUGUAGGAAUGCCGAUGGGGAAGCCAGCCCACUGGACAGAUACUGACGCUAAAGCGCGAAAGCGUGGGUAGCAAACAGG
rnacentral:rRNA from 2 species